CCUACGGGUGGCUGCAGUAGGGAAUCUUUCACAAUGGGCGAAAGCCUGAUGGAGCAACGCCGCGUGCAGGAUGAAGGCCUUCGGGUUGUAAACUGCUUUUAUAAGCGAGAAAUAUGAUGGUAGCUUAUGAAUAAUGAUCGGCUAACAACGGGCCGGCAGCCGCGGUCAUACGUCGGAUCCGAGAAUUAUCCGGAGUGACUGGGUGUAAAGAGUUGCGUGGGUGGCAUAAUAAGUAGCUAGUGAAAUCUGGUGGUUCUAACAUUCAGACUACUAGCUAAACUGGUAAGCUCGAGAACGUUAGGGGUAAGUGGAAUUGCUGGUGUAGGAGUGAAAUCCGUAGAUAUUAGGAAGAACACCAAUGGCGUAGGCAGGUUACUGGGACGGUUCUGACACUAAGGCACGAAAGCGUAGGGAGCAAACGGGAUUAGAUACCCCAGUAGUC
rnacentral:rRNA from 1 species